AAGAGACAACCUGGAGAACUGAAACAUCUAAGUAACCAGAGGAAAAGAAAUCAAUUGAGAUUCCGUUAGUAGUGGCGAGCGAACGCGGACUAGGCCAGUAAUUUUGUUAAAAAAAUUUGAAUAGUUUGGAAAUGCUAACCAUAGAGGGUGAUAGUCCCGUAUGAGUAAUGUUUAACAAAAUUCUUGAGUAAAGCGGGACACGAGAAAUCCUGCUCGAAUAUAGGGGGACCACCCUCUAAGCCUAAAUACUCUUCAGUGACCGAUAAUGAACUAGUACCGUGAGGGAAAGGUGAAAAGAACCCCUAUUAGGGGAGUGAAAUAGAACCUGAAACUGCAUGCCUACAAUCAGUCCGAGCCUUUUUUAGGGUGAGGGCGUACCUUUUGUAUAAUGGGUCAGUGACUUAAUUUAUUAAGCAAGCUUAAGCCAUCUAGGUGUAGGCGCAGCGAAAGCAAGUCUUAAUAGGGCGAUUAGUUUAAUGAAUUAGACCCGAAAACGAAUGAGCUUACCAUGAGCAGGUUGAAAGUUGGGUAACACCAACCGGAGGACCGAACCAGUUGACGUUGAAAAGUCUUUGGAUGACUUGUGGUAAGGGGUGAAAGGCCAACCAAAUUCGUAGAUAGCUGGUUUUCCGCGAAAACUAUUUAGGUAGUGCGUUGAAUAAAUAGAUGUUUAGAGGUAGAGCACUAAAUGGGCUAGGGGGAAGAGAUUCUUACCAAACCUAAUAAAACUCCGAAUGCUAGACAUUGU
rnacentral:rRNA from 1 species